rnacentral:rRNA from 1 species
GGGGGCGUGCUUACACAUGCAGUCGAACGAUGAUGCCCAGCUUGCUGGGUGGAUUAGUGGCGAACGGGUGAGUAACACGUGAGUAACCUGCCCCUGACUCUGGGAUAAGCGUUGGAAACGACGUCUAAUACUGGAUAUGAUCACUGGCCGCAUGGUCUGGUGGUGGAAAGAUUUUUUGGUUGGGGAUGGACUCGCGGCCUAUCAGCUUGUUGGUGAGGUAAUGGCUCACCAAGGCGACGACGGGUAGCCGGCCUGAGAGGGUGACCGGCCACACUGGGACUGAGACACGGCCCAGACUCCUACGGGAGGCAGCAGUGGGGAAUAUUGCACAAUGGGCGAAAGCCUGAUGCAGCAACGCCGCGUGAGGGAUGACGGCCUUCGGGUUGUAAACCUCUUUUAGUAGGGAAGAAGCGAAAGUGACGGUACCUGCAGAAAAAGCACCGGCUAACUACGUGCCAGCAGCCGCGGUAAUACGUAGGGUGCAAGCGUUGUCCGGAAUUAUUGGGCGUAAAGAGCUCGUAGGCGGUUUGUCGCGUCUGCUGUGAAAUCCCGAGGCUCAACCUCGGGCUUGCAGUGGGUACGGGCAGACUAGAGUGCGGUAGGGGAGAUUGGAAUUCCUGGUGUAGCGGUGGAAUGCGCAGAUAUCAGGAGGAACACCGAUGGCGAAGGCAGAUCUCUGGGCCGUAACUGACGCUGAGGAGCGAAAGCAUGGGGAGCGAACAGGAUUAGAUACCCUGGUAGUCCAUGCCGUAAACGUUGGGCGCUAGAUGUAGGGACCUUUCCACGGUUUCUGUGUCGUAGCUAACGCAUUAAGCGCCCCGCCUGGGGAGUACGGCCGCAAGGCUAAAACUCAAAGGAAUUGACGGGGGCCCGCACAAGCGGCGGAGCAUGCGGAUUAAUUCGAUGCAACGCGAAGAACCUUACCAAGGCUUGACAUACACCGGAAACGGCCAGAGAUGGUCGCCCCCUUGUGGUCGGUGUACAGGUGGUGCAUGGUUGUCGUCAGCUCGUGUCGUGAGAUGUUGGGUUAAGUCCCGCAACGAGCGCAACCCUCGUUCUAUGUUGCCAGCGGGUUAUGCCGGGGACUCAUAGGAGACUGCCGGGGUCAACUCGGAGGAAGGUGGGGAUGACGUCAAAUCAUCAUGCCCCUUAUGUCUUGGGCUUCACGCAUGCUACAAUGGCCGGUACAAAGGGCUGCGAUACCGUAAGGUGGAGCGAAUCCCAAAAAGCCGGUCUCAGUUCGGAUUGAGGUCUGCAACUCGACCUCAUGAAGUCGGAGUCGCUAGUAAUCGCAGAUCAGCAACGCUGCGGUGAAUACGUUCCCGGGCCUUGUACACACCGCCCGUCAAGUCAUGAAAGUCGGUAACACCCGAAGCCGGUGGCCUAACCCUUGUGGAAGGAGCCGUCGAAGGUGGGAUCGGUGAUUAGGACUAAGUCGUAACAAGAGCAGCCCC